CAGAAUAGAGCUUGAUAGUUAAGCCUUCCACUUACACUGGAAUGAAGCCGUGCAAAUCGGCGUAUUCUGA
rnacentral:tRNA from 1 species